rnacentral:rRNA from 1 species
CUGGAUAUAGACCCGAAACCAGGUGAUCUAGCCAUGGGCAGGUUGAAGGUUGAGUAACAUCAACUGGAGGACCGAACCGACUAAUGUUGAAAAAUUAGCGGAUGACUUGUGGCUAGGGGUGAAAGGCCAAUCAAACCUGGAGAUAGCUGGUUCUCCCCGAAAGCUAUUUAGGUAGCGCCUCGGACGAAUACUACUGGGGGUAGAGCACUGUUAAGGCUAGGGGGUCAUCCCGACUUACCAACCCUUUGCAAACUCCGAAUACCAGUAAGUACUAUCCGGGAGACACACGGCGGGUGCUAACGUCCGUCGUGGAGAGGGAAACAACCCAGACCGCCAGCUAAGGUCCCAAAUUACUACUAAGUGGGAAACGAUGUGGGAAGGCUCAGACAGCCAGGAUGUUGGCUUAGAAGCAGCCAUCAUUUAAAGAAAGCGUAAUAGCUCACUGGUCGAGUCGGCCUGCGCGGAAGAUGUAACGGGGCUAAGUAGUAAACCGAAGCUGCGGCAAUGUACUUUAGUGCAUUGGGUAGGGGAGCGUUCUGUAAGCGGUUGAAGGUGUGUGGUAACGCAUGCUGGACGUAUCAGAAGUGCGAAUGCUGACAUGAGUAACGAUAAAGGGGGUGAAAAACCUCCUCGCCGGAAGACCAAGGGUUCCUGUCCAACGUUAAUCGGGGCAGGGUAAGUCGACCCCUAAGGCGAGGCCGAAAGGCGUAGUCGAUGGGAAACGGGUUAAUAUUCCCGUACUUCUUACAAUUGCGAUGGGGGGACGGAGAAGGCUAGGUGGGCCUGGCGACGGUUGUCCAGGUUCAAGUGCGUAGGCUGAGAAAUUAGGUAAAUCCGGUUUCUCUUAAGGCUGAGACACGACGUCGAGCAUCUACGGAUGUGAAGUCAUUGAUGCCAUGCUUCCAGGAAAAGCCUCUAAGCUUCAGAUUGUAAGGAAUCGUACCCCAAACCGACACAGGUGGUCGGGUAGAGAAUACCAAGGCGCUUGAGAGAACUCGGGUGAAGGAACUAGGCAAAAUGGUACCGUAACUUCGGGAGAAGGUACGCUCUCGACGGUGAAGUCCCUCGCGGAUGGAGCUAUUGAGAGUCGCAGAUACCAGGUGGCUGCAACUGUUUAUUAAAAACACAGCACUGUGCAAAAUCGCAAGAUGACGUAUACGGUGUGACGCCUGCCCGGUGCCGGAAGGUUAAUUGAUGGGGUUAGACUUCGGUCGAAGCUCUUGAUCGAAGCCCCGGUAAACGGCGGCCGUAACUAUAACGGUCCUAAGGUAGCGAAAUUCCUUGUCGGGUAAGUUCCGACCUGCACGAAUGGCGUAAUGAUGGCCACGCUGUCUCCACCCGAGACUCAGUGAAAUUGAAAUCGCUGUGAAGAUGCAGUGUACCCGCGGCUAGACGGAAAGACCCCGUGAACCUUUACUACAGCUUGGCACUGAACAUUGACCCUACAUGUGUAGGAUAGGUGGGAGGCUUUGAAGCGCAGUCGCUAGAUUGCGUGGAGCCGUCCUUGAAAUACCACCCUUGUAGUGUUGAUGUUCUAACGUCGACCCCUUAUCGGGGUUGCGGACAGUGCCUGGUGGGUAGUUUGACUGGGGCGGUCUCCUCCCAAAGCGUAACGGAGGAGCACGAAGGUGGGCUAAUCACGGUUGGACAUCGUGAGGUUAGUGCAAUGGCAUAAGCCCGCUUGACUGCGAGAAUGACAAUUCGAGCAGGUGCGAAAGCAGGUCAUAGUGAUCCGGUGGUUCUGAAUGGAAGGGCCAUCGCUCAACGGAUAAAAGGUACUCCGGGGAUAACAGGCUGAUACCGCCCAAGAGUUCAUAUCGACGGCGGUGUUUGGCACCUCGAUGUCGGCUCAUCACAUCCUGGGGCUGAAGUCGGUCCCAAGGGUAUGGCUGUUCGCCAUUUAAAGUGGUACGCGAGCUGGGUUUAGAACGUCGUGAGACAGUUCGGUCCCUAUCUGCCGUGGGCGUUGGAGAAUUGAAAGGGGCUGCUCCUAGUACGAGAGGACCGGAGUGGACGAACCUCUGGUGUUCGGGUUGUGUCGCCAGACGCAUUGCCCGGUAGCUAAGUUCGGGAUCGAUAACCGCUGAAAGCAUCUAAGCGGGAAGCGAGCCUUGAGAUGAGUUCUCCCUGAUACUUUAAGUAUCCUAAAGGGUUGUCGUAGACUACGACGUUGAUAGGCAGGGUGUGUAAGCGUUGUGAGGCGUUGAGCUAACCUGUACUAAUUGCCCGUGAGGCUUAACCAU